rnacentral:rRNA from 1 species
UACGUAGGGGGCAAGCGUUGUCCGGAUUCAUUGGGCGUAAAGAGCGUGUAGGCGGCCAGGUAGGUCGGUUGUGAAAACUGGAGGCUCAACCUUCAGAGGUCGACCGAAACCAUCUGGCUAGAGUCCGGGAGAGGUGAGUGGAAUUCCGAGUGUAGAGGUGAAAUUCGUAGAUAUUCGGAAGAACACCAGUGGCGAAGGCGGCUCACUGGACCGGCAUUGACGCUGAGGUGCGAAAGCGUGGGGAGCAAACAGG